rnacentral:rRNA from 1 species
UACGAAGGGGGCGAGCGUUGUUCGGAAUUACUGGGCGUAAAGGGCGCGCAGGCGGCCUUAGAAGUCAGAUGUGAAAGCCCCGGGCUCAACCUGGGAAUGGCAUUUGAUACUCUGAGGCUGGAGUACGGGAGAGGAGAGUGGAAUUCCCAGUGUAGAGGUGAAAUUCGUAGAUAUUGGGAAGAACACCGGUGGCGAAGGCGGCUCUCUGGACCGUAACUGGCGCUGAGGCGCGAAAGCGUGGGGAGCAAACAGG